UGGAGGCCUGACUUUGAAACUUUGUUGUAUCCAUACAUGCCUCCUGAUGGAAAAAGUCCCAAGGAAUGCACAAAGCUCUACCUUGUACGGUUACCAGUGAGUCGAAAGUUCAUUGUACCAAAAAACCUUAAACUGCUUGCAGUUCCAUUGUGCCAGAUUCAUGAAAAUUACAAGACCUAUGGACCGAUAAUAUCAGGAAUACCACAGCUGCUAUCAAAGUUCUCCUUCAACAUUAUCAAUUCUUAAACUGGGCAUCUUCAUUGUGAUUGAGGUAAGUAAAGAGGGGGGAUUUGCAGUUGUUAGAAAAGGCUUAUGGAACUGCAAGCAGUUUAAGGUUUUUU
rnacentral:misc_RNA from 1 species